rnacentral:tRNA from 1 species
AUAUCUUUAGUUCAACAAGGUAGAACAUAAGUUUCCAAAACUUAAUGUUAUAGGUUCAAUUCCUAUAAGAUAUG